GCCGGGGCGCAGCGCGCUGGGGAGCGGGUUGGGGGCUGCUAGGGCUGCGGGGCGGGAAGGAGGCGGCAGUGUGUGUGUGUGUGUGUGUGUGUGUGUGUGGGCAGGUGUGUGUGUGUGUGUACGUGUGUGCGCGCGCGCCCUGCAGCGGCCGGCCAGCCGGAGGGAAGACCCCGGCGGGAAGACUGCGUCCCGUCCGGCCUUCCCGGGCCUGUCACUUGGGCGGUGGCGUGGGAGCGGCGAGGCUGCUCGGGGGGCAGCCGGGUGGGCCCAGCUCUAGGGGAGAUUCGGGUCAGCCCCUGAGCCCAGCCUCCCGGCUGUGCCUGCUGGAAGCAGACGGAGGGAAGGCCGGGCGUCUUUGGCCCACCGCGCGGCCGCUCCCCUCCCGGGCCAGGCUGAACGGGCGGGCGCAGCCCAGAGGCCCGGGCUCUGCCACCGAUCCGCCUCCAUACUGACCCGAGCUGCGGCGCCUGCAAGAUUAAUGAAGCAUCCGCGAUUCGGUAGAGGCGGCACGGGGAGGAAAGACACAAGAUCGUGCUGCCCCCCUCUCCCCACCCUUCUCAGCCUCCUAGGACCUAAAGGCGUAGGCUGCGUCUGCUGGGCGCGUCCGGAGUGGUCCAGAGAGAUCGCCAUCCACCACUGCAUCCGUCCAGUUCUUUGUGGACCCUCACAGAAGCUCAAUCAAUUUCCCACCCUCUGGAAAAGGGUAUUUUUCUCUUCCCUGGCAUAUUGGGUGUUUCUUGUGUGCACCUAAUUGAUCUUUUUCCAUUGAUAGCCUUUGGAUGUCUUUUGUGCGGCUUCCCCGCGCUUCACUGCUCCCUCAUUGCCUUAGACACGCGAGGAAUGUCAGGCCCCCAGAGUGAGAACACCCAAGAAAACAAUAGGGGCAAAAGAUCCUCCCUGGGCCUCGCGGAUUAUGCACAAACCAGAUCAUUUCCCACAUUCGGCCAGGGUGAAGAUGGAAAAUGGAAAAGAACGCCAUCAGAGUGGUGACACUGACGAGAAAAGCCAAUUCAUAAUUUAGUUUAAUGAAAUGAGUUAGUAAUCAACCACUAAUGUCUAGGAAAUUGGCCUUUUUUGAAAACUGGUUUUCCCUUUCUCCACCCCUUUUUUUUUCAAAUUAAAAGACUAGUAUCCCACUGUUGUUGUUUUAAUUUUUAUUGUUUUCAGGGAUGGGGUCUGCUGCCAAGGCUGGAUUCGAACUCCUGAACCCAAGAGAUCCUCCUCAAGGGAUCUUCCCCAUCUCAGCCUCCCAAGUAGCUGGGACUACAGGCCAAUUCCACCGCACCCUGCCUAACAUCACAUUGUUCAGGAACCUCAACUUACAUUCCAUUUUUACAAAAUAUCCAUAUUCUGGUUCAUACUUCUUGGAGCCCAAAUUUUUUGUAGUCUAGCCUCUUGGAAAGGAGCGGUUAAGAAGGGAGGGUAGAUAAAUUGAGAUUUCAAUCAGGGGCAGCCAGCCCCAUCCCUUUCACCACUGGUGACUUGUUUCAUUUCUUCUUUCUUUCCUCAUCUGUAAAGGCAUUGAUAAUGAUCGUUCCUACCUCAUAAGCUUGUGAAAGUAAAAAGAAAAUAAAACGAGGUGGCAAUGCAUGUAAAACACUUUGCAUAGUGCCUGACACAUGGGUGAGAACUCAAUAAAUAGAAGCUAUUGUUUCAGACUUGAUUAUUUUAAACUCAAAUUUGGUAGAAUUUUAUUCUCUUUCCAUUCCUUCUGAAAAGUUAGGGAGGAGAAUGGACACAGCUGAUGGAUUUAUUCAAAUGUAGUCCACUCUUCCCUUGGGUUUUUACGCCCUGCCUGAAACUUUUGCCUGUGGUAAAAUGAAAUAAAUACAUAACUGAGGGGUGUGUGUGUGUGUGUGUGUGUGUGUGUGUGUGUGUGUGUACAUCCAUAUAAAAGGAUCUUUGAGCACAAUAAGUUUUGUUCUUCCC
rnacentral:lncRNA from 1 species